rnacentral:rRNA from 1 species
UACGUAGGUGGCAAGCGUUGUCCGGAUUUAUUGGGUUUAAAGGGCGCGUAGGUGGUCUAUUAAGUCAGUGCUGAAAUAUCCCGGCUUAACCGGGAGGGUGGCAUUGAUACUGAUGGACUUGAGUGGAGUUGAGGUAGACGGAAUUGACGGUGUAGCGGUGAAAUGCUUAGAUAUCGUCAAGAACACCGAUAGCGAAGGCAGCUUACCAAGCUCUAACUGACACUGAUGCACGAAAGUGUGGGGAUCAAACAGG